AGUGCGUUGCCAUGUUGAAAAA
rnacentral:snRNA from 1 species